rnacentral:rRNA from 1 species
CCUACGGGAGGCAGCAGUGGGGAAUAUUGCACAAUGGGGGAAACCCUGAUGCAGCGACGCCGCGUGAGCGAAGAAGUAUUUCGGUAUGUAAAGCUCUAUCAGCAGGGACGAAAAACGCCGUUACCUGACUACGAUGCCCCGGCUAACUACGUGCCAGCAGCCGCGGUAAUACGUGGGGGGCAAGCGUUAUCCGGUUUUCCUGGGUGUAAAGGGAGCGUAGACGGCAAGACAAGCCAGAAGUGAAAGGGAGGGGCUCAACCCUGUACAUGCUUUUGGAACUGUGGGGCUGGAGUGCAGGAGGGGUAAGUGGAAUUCCUAGUGUAGCGGUGAAAUGCGUAGAUAUUAGGAGGAACACCAGUGGCGAAGGCGGCUUACUGGACUGUAACUGACGUUGAGGCUCGAAAGCGUGGGGAGCAAACAGGAUUAGAUACCCUGGUAGUC